GGUCAGAUGAUGCUACAACAACAUAUUCCUGAGAUUCUCUUUGAGGAAUAAUACAAAAUCGAGCUUUUUAAGACUGAUGGCUA
rnacentral:snoRNA from 1 species